rnacentral:lncRNA from 1 species
AAAGAGACCAUGGUGACCACCCCAUGCCUGCCUUUACUUUGUCAGCUGGCUUACCAACCCAAGCAAAGCCUGUAGCAAUUUCAAAACCUCAGGAUCCUUCCAAUUGCCUCAGUGAGCCUUGGAGAAGCCACAGACCUGAUACACAAGGCUGAACACGGGGACAGCAGCACUUCCUACUGGCCUCUCAUAGGCAGCUGGGGAAACCCCUUCUUCAUGCAGCAAGUCGGGAAGAUAUGGAUAUCCAACGAGGGGUCUGAAGGUAGAAAUGUCAGCUCUAAGAUCCUGGGCCCCAUGCUACCCUCCCUGAGAUGCUGCUAUGUGAAUGUGGAGGGAAAGAAACAGAAGUUACUGCAUCUUACUCCAUCCUAAGAAAGGCUACAGUGGGCAGCCCUGAUUCCCUCCUGCUGUCCAGAACCUGAGAGCCCAGUAAAUUGGAGCCUAGGCCACUGUGGCCUUUGAAAGACAGACAGAAGACUUCCAGACACGCAGCAAAGAUAAGAAAGCUGCAAGGAUGCCAGAGGCCUCCCAACAUCCAAUCCAGACAGAGCCUUGUCUGAGGUAGAGGUUUCCAAUGAGUGAGCCCCAGGAAAUCUUAAGUCUUGGGGAUAUGGCAUACUAGCAGAGGGGCAACAAUCAGCUCCAGGGAGUAAAGAAAUUAAAAGCAGCCCUUGUUGUAGCUUGUGCCAAUUUGUAUGGUAUAAUCACUCCUGCCUUGGCUAAUGUCAUCACUGAAGGCAAAUUCAGGACCAGCAAAGCAUAGUCAACUGUCCUGAGCAGCAACAUCUCACACUCAAAGCAUAUGAGAACAGAUGGCUCUUCCCAUAAGAUUCUUGCUACCUGCCCAGAGGACCAAGAACAAACAGUGGCAUGUCUCGGCUGGAAGACAGAGGAGCAGAAGGGUUGUUGAGUGUUACAGGUUGGCUAGGAAAAGUCCCACACCGGCUUGUGUGUUUGAACACUUGCUCUCCAGCUCAUGGUGCUCUCUGGGAAGUUUCUGGAACCUUUUAAAGGUGAGGCUGUGGUGAUUUAAAGAAUAGUCCCCUUGGGCUCCUAUUUUGAAUACUUGGUAGAACUGUUUGGGGAGGAUUGGGAGGUGUGGCCUUGUUGGAGAAGAUGUAUCACUGGGGGUGGACUUUGAGGUUCUAAAAGACUCCCAGUGUUCUUCCUCUACCUCGUGGUUGUGGAUCAAAAUGUGAGCUGAUCUUCCCUCCUCCAUCACUCAUUGUAGUCCUCUGAAACCAUAAGCCAAAAUAAAUGUUUUCUUCUAGAAGUAGACUUGGUCAUGACGUUUUAUCAAAGCAACAGAAAAGUAACUAAAACAAGGGCCUACAUGGGGGAAGUGGAUCUCUGGGGAGGCAGGCCUUGAGGUUUACAGUCCUGCCCAACUUCCUGCCCCCUCU